ACAGGUGGUGCAUGGUUGUCGUCAGCUCGUGUCGUGAGAUGUUGGGUUAAGUCCCGCAACGAGCGCAACCCUUGUCUUAUGUUGCCAGCAUUUGGUUGGGGACUCAUGAGAGACUGCCGGGGUUAACUCGGAGGAAGGUGGGGAUGACGUCAAAUCAUCAUGCCCCUUAUGUCCAGGGCUUCACACAUGCUACAAUGGUCGGUACAACGCGCAGCGACACUGUGAGGUGGAGCGAAUCGCUGAAAGCCGGCCUUAGUUCGGAUUGGGGUCUGCAACUCGACCCCAUGAAGUCGGAGUCGCUAGUAAUCGCAGAUCAGCAACGCUGCGGUGAAUACGUUCCCGGGCCUUGUACACACCGCCCGUCACGUCAUGAAAGUUGGUAACACCCGAAGCCAGUGGCCUAAACUUGUUAGGGAGCUGUCGAAGGUGGGAUCGGCGAUUGGGACGAAGUCGUAACAAGGUACCCGUACCGGAAGGUGCGGGUGGAUCACCUCCUUUCUAAGGAG
rnacentral:rRNA from 1 species